rnacentral:rRNA from 1 species
GAUGAACGCUGGCGGCGUGCCUAAUACAUGCAAGUAGAACGCUGAAGGAAGGAGCUUGCUCUUUCCGGAUGAGUUGCGAACGGGUGAGUAACGCGUAGGUAACCUGCCUGGUAGCGGGGGAUAACUAUUGGAAACGAUAGCUAAUACCGCAUAACAGUAGAUGUUGCAUGAUAUCUACUUAAAAGGUGCAAUUGCACCACUACCAGAUGGACCUGCGUUGUAUUAGCUAGUUGGUGAGGUAACGGCUCACCAAGGCGACGAUACAUAGCCGACCUGAGAGGGUGGUCGGCCACACUGGGAAUGGGACACGGCCCAGACUCCUACGGGGGGCAGCAGUAGGGGAUCUUCGGCAAUGGGCGGAAGUCUGACCGAGCAACGCCGCGUGAGUGAAGGAGGUUUUCGGAUCGUAAAGCUCUGUUGUAAGGGAAGAACGAGUGUGAGAGUGGAAAGUUCACACUGUGACGGUAUCUUACCAGAAAGGGACGGCUAACUACGUG